rnacentral:rRNA from 1 species
GAUGAACGCUGGCGGCGUGCCUAAUACAUGCAAGUCGAGCGAACGGACUAGAAGCUUGCUUCUCUGAUGUUAGCUGCGGACGGGUGAGGAACACGUGGGUAACCUACCUAGAAAACUUGGAUAACUUCGGGGAACCAUAGCUAGUAACGGCUAAUAUUUUCGACCGCAUGGUUCAAAAGUGAAAGAGGGUCUUUCUGUGACUUAUAGGUGGAAACUCGCUGCACUAGCUAGUUGGUAAGGUAACGGCUUACCAAGGCACCGAUGCAUAACCGACCUGAGAGGAUGAACGGCCACCCUGGCACUGAGACACGGCCCCCACUCCUACGCGAGGAAGCAGCAGGGAAUCCUACGGAAUGCGGGAAAGCGUGAUGGAGCAAAGUCGCGUGAGUGAUGAAGGUCCUCGGCUCGUAAAACUAUGUUAUUAGGGAAGAACAUAUGUGUAAGUAACAGUGCACAUCUUGACGGUACCUAACCAGAAAGCCACGGCUAACUACGUG